ensembl:lncRNA
GGAAGAAUCAAUAUUGUAAAGGUGUCAAUUCUCCCCAAAUUGACUUAAAAUUUAAUUUCAAUAAAAGUCUCAGCAAGAUUUAUAAUAGAUAUAGAGAAACUGAUUCUACAAUGCAAUAUGUUUUUCUAACGCAAAGGUUUGGAAUAGCUUAAACAAUUUCAAAAAAGGAAAGUAAAAUUGGAGGAAUCAUACUAUCAUAUCUUAAGGUUUACUAAAAACCAGAGUAAUAAUGACAGAGUGGCAUUGGCAAAGAAAUAGACACACAGAUCAAUAGAACAGAAUAGUGAAUUCAGAGAUGGAUCCACACAAAUAUGACCUACUGAUUUUGUGCAAAGGUGCAAAAACAGUUCAAUGGAGAAAGGACAAGCUUUUGAAUAAAUGGAGUUGAGGCAACUGGACAUCCAUAUGCAAAAAGAACAAACCUCACACCUAACCCAAAUUAACUCAAAAUGCAUCAUUGAUCUAAAUAUAAAUGUAAAACUGUAAAACUUUCAGGAUAAAACCAAGGAGAAAAUCUUAAAUUUCUAGAGUAAAGCAAAGAGAUCUUAGGUUUGCAAUAUUUAUCUACUGACUCCCACUCCUCAUAGGUUGAGGGUUGCCUCUUGGGGAUGGGGGUGAGGGCGUGUCAAAUCAUUCCUGGGCUUCCCCUGACAUUGGGAUGAGCAAACUCCUAUAACAUUGGAGAAAGACCCUGGAUAGAGAAAGAGAGAGAUACACAUGCUUGACGUGGAAAGCUCUCAACACAUGUGAGAAACGUCCAUUACAACUGAAUGCGAACUUGGAAUUGGGAUGAGAACCUCCUACAGUAAAGAGCUAAAGGCAAAGUGGUAAAGGAGCUAGAGAGGUGGGCUUAUCAUUGCUCACCAAUGUGAUUCUGUGACUCCAGUGCUGUAAGGGUAGUUCUCAUGGCCAGAGCCAUAGAGUGUAUGAACUAUUGAGGAUGACUAUAUAUGAAAAAGUUGUGAGAACCUUUUGAAUGUUCUUGCAUUUGGGAGGUGAGGAAGGAUUGCUGAAUUUGCUCAUUGGAGGGAAGACCUCACACACAUUUUCCCCUUUGUGUUCUAUGUGGUCCACACUAAGUAAGAACAGAUUCAUUUUAUAGUAGCUCUUCCCUUGUUCCUGGGUUCUCUUGCCAUUGACCUCUCAAUUUAUGUCUCUAGAUGUGAUCUCUUCAAUUUCCAAAUUUACCGCUCUAACUAUUCACUUUACAUCUUUGUGGGGAGCACUCAUAGAUUUCUCAGAUUUACAAAGUGGGUAUCUUGUUUUUUCUCCACUCUGUACAAUCUGAGCACCAAUCCCAAUGCCAUUGCCAGUCAUCCACAUGUCAAUAAAUGACACCACAAGGUCCUAGUUGCUCAAGCCAGGAAUCAAGAGAGAGUAGAUCCAUCCAUUAUUCUAUAUCUCAGCUUCCUUUUAUUUCCUUUAUAGAAUUUCUUAUAAUGUUGAAGUAUUUCAUUGAUUUGGUGGUUUGCUUGUGUUCUUUUUCGUUUGUCUCCUGCACUAUAAUAUAAGCUCCUUGAGGACAGGGACAAUAUUAGUCUUCUUUGCCAAGGUACUGCCAUAGUGCCAAGAAUAUAGUAGAAUGAAUGUAUGAAUACAGGGACUUACAAGACUAGCAUGGUCACACUUGUCACCAGAUUAACUUAGAGUCCCAUAGGACAGGAAGCAAAGUUUUUAAGCAGGGCAGAACUGAGCAUUUCUCUUCAGUAGGAGGAGUCCUUGCAGCUGUCCAGAAGUUAUUAUUAUUCUCUUCGCCCGCCCAAAUGACAGCCCAGUUCAAGGAGAUAAGACCUACAGGACCUUUCCCUUGUGUUCCCCUUAGAGAAGACUCUCACGAAGAUUACCAAAAUCCUGUUCUUUGGGAUUUUAAUUGACCAAUCCAGCCUUAGUCUGGGAACCCCAAAGCACUCCACCUGCAGACUCUAAUCAAGGAAUGUGCCCAGGUCCUGCUGUGCUCUUUCUGCCUGCACCCUGCCUUGACCUGCCUGCGUGGCCCUUUGUGGCAUGCUGUGUACCUACUCCAGGACCUGUUAGAAGAAACUACUUGUGAAUUCCAUGCAGCACGACUAUUCUGACUAUUGCUGUUGAUAUUGAUGUUGCAUACUUUUUAAAUCUACCAAAAACCUUUUCUGGAAACAGGUGAAGGAUUAAUUAAUUAUCAAGACAAUAAAUAUUGACAGAAGGGAGGCAGUGCCCUUAUCCGGCUGGAGAUGUUUCCCAUUGAGCCUGGAGAUUUAAUCUGCAGAUUUGCACCAGCGGUGACACAACCUCCUCAAGGGCACUUGCGAAACACGUUUCUGGGUCCUGUGCAAAGUGAGGCAAGCGGAUUCCUGAAAAUGACAGCACAGUCCAACCACAGCUCAAGUCAAAAGCCAUAAGCACAUCAUGAAAAACAAACCCAUCACUGAACAAAUAUAUGAUAUGUUUACAUUGCAACUAAAUAUUUCACAGUGAGAAACAAGUCUUUUCUGUAAAAAUGUGCUGCAAUGUGUGUAUAUUAUUUCAUAUUUUGGGGAUUAUAUCUUUAGGACUAAUUCCUAGAAGCAUAAUUUCUAGGUCAAAGAGUAAAUCCAUAUACAAAUCUGCUAGAUGUUGCCAAACGCCCUUCUGUAGCACCUCCAACAUUUUGUAUCCCCAUCAACAAUGCGUGAGCUUGGCUGGUUCUCCACAGCCUCGCAACGGAGUGGGGUUUACACUUUUGGAUGAUUCCAAAUUGAUGGGUAAGAAAUGGUACAUCCUUGUACUUUUAGUUUGUUUCUCUUAUUAUUGUUGCUGCAGUCUAGAUCUAGCCAGGAAGAGAGAAACCAGACCAAUUAUUUUAAUAGAGAAAACUGAAUUUGGGUAAAAGGCUAAGCAGGAAUUGGUGGACUAAGCAGGCAAAGAGGAACCAGGAGGAACAGAGAGAAAGUCUAACCAGCUAUAUUAAAAUUCUUCAUAAUUGGAAUGUAUAGAGUGGCUUCGGUAUUCUCACUGAACCAUAACUUCUCUCCAUGACUGUUUGCCCCUGAAUCGUGAUAUUGCCCUCUCUCUGACUCACUUGCUCAAAUUCUGACACUUAGUCUUUUAAUCCAACUGAAUAGAGACGCUUCUUAUAUACUAGGGAACCCAGUUAGAGUGCCUUGAAUGUAAGGAUAUGACCAGAGGGCUCUCUGGGAUUGGAGGAGAAGGAUAUUCAUCUCAGAAAGUUUGUUUAAAUCAGCAUGCCUGUCCCAAACUCCUGAAUUUUUAAAAAUCUGUGCCUGAGAGGUCCCUUGACAAAUUAGGAGGCAGAGUGACACAUUACACAAGCCACUGAAUACUGCAAUCUUGACCCAGUUUCUGAAAGACUCCAUAAUGUAAUCAAUAGCAAUAUAUCUCAUGACAAAGAUAACACAAAAGAAGAAAUUUACAACAAAGUUGAUUCAUGUAUAUUGAUUCAAAAACUCUGAACAAAAUACUAUCAGAUGUUAUAGUGCUAACAAUAAAAUAAUAUUAAUAAUAAAAUGCCAUGACUUAGUAGGUAUACAUUCUAGCAUUUAUUCCAGUAGAUUACCAGGUAUGUGGGCGAAAGGAGAAAAAUAUAAAUUACCAUCUCAU